rnacentral:rRNA from 1 species
GGAAGGAUCAUUAUCGAGUUUUGAACGGGUUGUAGCUGGCCUCAUACUGUGGCAUGUGCACGCCUGUCUUCAUCCACUCUUCAACCUCUGUGCACUUAUUGUAGGCUGGUGAAGGGUCGCAUAGUAAUGUGCGGCUUGAAGCCUGGUCUACGUUUUACUACAAACGCUUCAGUUAUAGAAUGUCUAUCUGCGUAUAACGCAUUUAAUAUACAACUUUCAGCAACGGAUCUCUUGGCUCUCGCAUCGAUGAAGAACGCAGCGAAAUGCGAUAAGUAAUGUGAAUUGCAGAAUUCAGUGAAUCAUCGAAUCUUUGAACGCACCUUGCGCUCCCUGGUAUUCCGGGGAGCAUGCCUGUUUGAGUGUCAUGGAAUUCUCAACUUCUAAUACUUUUUUGUAUCAGAAGCUUGGAUUUGGAGGCUCGUGCUGGCUCUCUCGUUAGAGUCGGCUCCUCUUAAAUGAAUUAGCGUGAAUCACUAUGGAUCGCUUCGGUGUGAUAAUUAUCUGCGCCGUAGUCGUGAAGUAUUAAUAAAAGUUCUCGCUUCUAAUCGUCCUUCACGGGACAAUUAACCCUGACUUUUUGACCUCAAAUCAGGUAGGACUACCCGCUGAACUUAAGCAUAUCAAUAA